rnacentral:lncRNA from 1 species
CCUAUCUUUUCUUUGACUUAUCUCAAUCUCCUCAUAGGUUUCAGGGUACUCUCUCACUACAACCAAUGCAUAUGACACCGUCUCCUCAGAGCCAUUCCUUUCUAGCUUCUGCACAUUCUACAUCGACUUGUGUAGUGCAACACCAUCACUGAUGCUGAAAUUUUUCUCCUUCCUUUGCACCCCUUGGCCUCGAACUUAUGCCAAACCUUCCUCUACAUAUGGAGG